CACCAGCAUCAAGAGAGGGCGUAAGCCCCGCCAACCAGCCCUGACCGGGCAACGGUGGUCUAAGGAUGCGGCUCGUUGCCAAUAAUACGGUCGUCU
rnacentral:ncRNA from 1 species